rnacentral:rRNA from 1 species
GAUGAACGCUAGCGGGAGGCUUAAUACAUGCAAGUCGAACGGCAGCAGUCUGAACCUAGUUCGGAGCUGGCGAGUGGCGCACGGGUGAGUAACGCGUACGCAAUCUACCCUAAGAGGAGGAUAGCCCUGGGAAACUGGGAUUAAUACUCCAUGUGGUCUAUGAAUGGCAUCGUUUAUAGAUUAAAGAAUUUUCGCUUAGGGAUGAGCGUGCGUCCUAUUAGCUAGUUGGUGAGGUAGUGGCUCACCAAGGCGAUGAUAGGUAGGGGGCGUGAGAGCGUGGCCCCCCACACGGGUACUGAGACACGGACCCG